GACAGAGGGUGCAAACGUUGUUCGGAAUUACUGGGCGUAAAGCGCGUGUAGGCGGCAGCGUGUGUCGGGCGUGAAAUCCCAUGGCUCAACCAUGGAAGUGCACCCGAAACUGCGCAGCUAGAGUCCUGGAGAGGAAGGUGGAAUACUUGGUGUAGAGGUGAAAUUCGUAGAUAUCAAGUGGAACACCGAUGGCGAAGGCAGGUCUCUGGGCCACUACUGACGCUGAGAAGCGAAAGCAUGGGGAGCGAACAGG
rnacentral:rRNA from 1 species